UUUUUCUUCUUUACUUCUCCCCCUUUCUCUCCCCCCGUCGUCCCUUACCCCCUCUAUUCCCCCAUGGCAGCCCUAUACCUUAGCGGUCUAUCCCCUUUCAUUCCAUUUUACUUUACCUUAUUUUUAUAGAGAUUCACUCACACUCCCCCUUGUCCGCCUGGAGGGGUAUUUCUGUUGGCGGCUAUGGUUCGCACAGUUGUUGCCAUUCAUCGGAUUGGCUCUCCUGAGGAAGCGGGUGACCGCGAAACUAGUCGAGGCUCUGACCAAUCUAUCAAUUGACAACUACAGAUGCCCUCCGGGUGACCCCCAAGCAUCCUGUUUUUUGUUUAAUUUUAAGAAUAUUAAUUGUAUAUUUGUUUUCACAAUAAAUCAAUUAUUUUUACAUUA